rnacentral:misc_RNA from 1 species
GAUUUUCGACCAAGUCGAAUGGUUGUGAUCUCAAAACAUGUUGAGGCUUUUAUUAGGGAGUUUUUUGAUCAGAAUCCACUUAGCCAGAUUGGUUUGGUGACUAUAAAAGACGGGGUUGCCCAUCCCUUAACAGAGCUUGGUGGUAGUCCAGAGUCCCAUAUCAAGGCUUUGAUGGGGAAGAUGGAAUGCUCAGGUGAUUCCUCACUACAGAAUGCCCUAGACCUUGUCUGUGGAUAUCUUGAUCAGAUUCCAUCAUAUGGUCAUCGUGAGGUUCUGAUCUUAUAUUCAGCCCUCAGUACCUGUGAUCCAGGAGAUAUAACGGAGACCAUCCAGAAAUGCAAGGAAUCUAAAAUAAGGUGCUCAGUUAUUGGUCUUUCUGCAGAAAUGUUUAUAUGCAAACACCUCUGUCAAGAAACUGGUGGAUUAUACUCUGUUGCAAUGGACGAGGCCCACUUUAAAGAGUUAAUGCUGGAGCAUGCACCACCACCUCCAGCAAUAGCAGAAUUUGCAAUUGCUAACUUGAUCAAGAUGGGUUUCCCACAAAGGGCAGCAGAGGGCUCUAUCUCUAUAUGUUCUUGUCAUAAAGAAGCUAAGGUUGGCGAUGGUUACAUUUGUCCGAGAUGCAAGGCACGUGUAUGUGAGCUUCCUACUGAAUGCCG